rnacentral:rRNA from 1 species
UCCUCCCUCUGGCGGCGUGCCUAAUACAUGCAAGUAGAACGCUGAAGGAGGAGCUUGCUUCUCUGGAUGAGUUGCGAACGGGUGAGUAACGCGUAGGUAACCUGCCUGGUAGCGGGGGAUAACUAUUGGAAACGAUAGCUAAUACCGCAUAAUAGUAGAUGUUGCAUGACAUUUGCUUAAAAGGUGCAAUUGCAUCACUACCAGAUGGACCUGCGUUGUAUUAGCUAGUUGGUGGGGUAACGGCUCACCAAGGCGACGAUACAUAGCCGACCUGAGAGGGGGAUCGGCCACACUGGGACUGAGACACGGCCCAGACUCCUACGGGAGGCAGCAGGAGGGAAUCUUCGGCAAUGGACGGAAGUCUGACCGAGCAACGCCGCGUGAGUGAAGAAGGUUUUCGGAUCGUAAAGCUCUGUUGUAAGAGAAGAACGAGUGUGAGAGUGGAAAGUUCACACUGUGACGGUAUCUUACCAGAAAGGGACGGCUAACUACGUG